rnacentral:rRNA from 1 species
UACGAAGGGGGCUAGCGUUGCUCGGAAUCACUGGGCGUAAAGCGCACGUAGGCGGAUUGCUAAGUCAGGGGUGAAAUCCUGGAGCUCAACUCCAGAACUGCCUUUGAUACUGGCGGUCUCGAGUCCGGGAGAGGUGAGUGGAACUGCGAGUGUAGAGGUGAAAUUCGUAGAUAUUCGCAAGAACACCCGUGGCGAAGGCGGCUCUCUGGGACGGUACUGACGCUGAGACGCGAAAGCGUGGGGAGCAAACAGG